rfam:Camelus ferus unplaced genomic scaffold scaffold113, whole genome shotgun sequence.
AAGGGUAUAGUUCAGUGGUAGAGGGUGUGCCUGGCAUGCACGAGGUCCUGGGUUCAAUCCCCAGUACCUUCA